CUAACGGCUGAACUGGCAACUUGGAGAAGUGGCAAGUCUUCCAGUAUGGGGAGCAAAACAGCUAUGGGUCAAGUCCGAUAUCUUUAGGAGAAGUCUUAUUGUGAGGGCGAGUUAUAUAACACCAUAGGACUGGCCGUCCCAUAUGAAAAGAUUAUAUUAGAAUUGAAUGAAGCUUUGUUUAUAUAUUGAUAAUGACAGUAUAUAUAUCGUGUCUUGACUAAUUGCGUGCCAGCAGUCGCGGUAAUACGUAAGAGACUAGUGUUAUUCAUCUUAAUUAGGUUUAAAGGGUACCCAGACGGUCAAUAUAGCUUAUAAAAUGUUAGUACUUGACUAGAGUUUUAUGUAAGAGGGCAGUACUUGAGGAGGAGAGAUGAAAUUUCGUGAUACCAAAGGGACUCUGUAAAGGCGAAGGCAGCCCUCUAUGUAAAAACUGACGUUGAAGGACGAAGGCACAGAGAACAAACAGGAUUAGAUACCCAAGUAGUCUUUGCAGUAAAUGAUGAAUGCCAUAGGUUAGAUUGGUCAAUUAUAGUCUAGGGUUAGUCUAGCAAACUAAUACCCUAUGCUAUAAUCCUAAUAUCUGGUCUAUAAAUGAAAGUGUAAGCAUUUCACCUCAAGAGUAAUGUGGCAACGCAGGAACUGAAAUCACUAGACCGUUUCUGACACCAGUAGUGAAGUAU
rnacentral:rRNA from 1 species